AGAGUUUGAUCAUGGCUCAGGAUGGACGCUAGCGACAGGCUUAACACAUGCAAGUCGAGGGGUAACAGGGUAGCAAUACCGCUGACGACCGGCGCACGGGUGAGUAACGUGUAUGCAACCUGCCUAUAACUGGGGAAUAGCUCCCUGAAAGGGGAAUUAACACCGCAUAACACUAUUGAUUCGCAUGGAUUAGUAGUUAAAUGUAGCGAUACAGGUUAUAGAUGGGCAUGCGUGACAUUAGCUAGUUGGUGAGGUAACGGCUCACCAAGGCUACGAUGUCUAGGGGUUCUGAGAGGAAGGUCCCCCACACUGGUACUGAGACACGGACCAGACUCCUACGGGAGGCAGCAGUGAGGAAUAUUGGUCAAUGGGCGCAAGCCUGAACCAGCCAUGUCGCGUGCAGGAAGACUGCCCUAUGGGUUGUAAACUGCUUUUAUAGUAGAAGAAACACAUCUACGCGUAGAUGUCUGCCAGUAUACUAUGAAUAAGCAACGGCUAACUCCGUGCCAGCAGCCGCGGUAAUACGGAGGAUGCAAGCGUUAUCCGGAUUUAUUGGGUUUAAAGGGUGCGUAGGCGGGACUGUAAGUCAGGGGUGAAAUACUGCAGCUUAACUGUAGCAUUGCCUUUGAAACUGCCGUUCUUGAGUACAGUUGAGGUAGGCGGAAUGUGGUGUGUAGCGGUGAAAUGCAUAGAUAUACCACAGAACGCCGAUUGCGAAGGCAGCUUACUAAGCUGUUACUGACGCUGAGGCACGAAAGCGUGGGGAUCAAACAGGAUUAGAUACCCUGGUAGUCCACGCUGUAAACGAUGAUUACUGGUUGU
rnacentral:rRNA from 1 species